CGUAACCAAAGAUAAUUAGAGGGUUUAGUGUAGGAGCUGUUACGAUUCUAACAUCACCACCACCUGGAGCCCAAGUAUCGUAGAUACCACCAACGAAACAAGCUUUAGCUACUAGUAGGAAACAACCAAUACCUAGUAGAACUAGGUGGAUUCCUAAAAUAGUAGUCAUUUUGUUCUUGUCACGCCA
rnacentral:antisense_RNA from 1 species